rnacentral:rRNA from 1 species
UACGGAGGGUGCGAGCGUUGUCCGGAAUCACUGGGCGUAAAGGGCGCGUAGGCGGCGCGGAAAGUCGUCGGUGAAAGCUCGGGGCUCAACCCUGAGUCUGCCGGUGAUACUCCCGCGCUCGAGCUCACUAGAGGCAGAUGGAAUUCCGGGUGUAGCGGUGGAAUGCGUAGAUAUCGAGAGGAACACCUGCGGCGAAGCGGGUUGCUGGGCUGACACUGACGCUGACAGCGCGAAAGCUAGGGGAGCGAACGG